rnacentral:tRNA from 2 species
GUCACUUUGGCGGAGUGGUUAACGCGCUGCCCUGCUAAGGCAGUUCCUUCGGGAGCGCAGGUUCGAAUCCUGCAGGUGACG